GUUCCGCCUCCGGGUCGCGCGCCACGUGACCGCCUCUGCGGGGCGGGUCCUUGGAACCGGGAGGGUUGGGGCUGAGGCGGGGCUUAGGUAAACAAGCAGGUCACAGAGCUGCACAUCUGUCCCUGCACUGUCCUCCUCAGACAGCUGCGCCCCAACCAGGAGUGAGCCAGUGUCCCGGUCCCUUAGGCUGGUGACAGAACAGUAUUUGAAGAGAUAGGAGCUGAUAAUUUUCCCAAAGUGAUGGAAGACGUGAUCCACAGAAUGAAGAUGUGCUGCGGUGGAGGAGAGCACCGGGAACGCCGCCGGCCGCCGGGGCCACGGCCGCUGCUGGCCCACGGACCUGCUACCUCGCUGCAGAGCAGCCACAGCUGAGACCACAGGCAAUGAAAGGAAAACCUCCAUGUCCUGAAAAUAAUGCCUGCAAACCUAAACGUCUAGAUCCAGCCAGCGGCACGCUUCAGAGAUGAAGGCCACAGACAUUUCGGAGACAAAGCCUGAAAGCAUUCGUUAUUAAGGAGACUGGUCCACAAAGCCCGAGGACGGGAGCAAGGGCACACAAGAGAAGGCUGUGUUACGAAAAGUCCAGUGAAGAGCGACUUGUAAAACAAUGACAGUGAUGUCUUGUGAGGCUUAAAACGUAUCCGGAGAAUUAAAACAUGGGACAGUAGCGUAGAAGCGAAGUGGGUAAACGGAGGGGAUCGGCAGGCCCCAGCUGUGUCCUAAUCCCCUGGGCCUGUGAAUAUGAGCCUGCUCCGUGACAAGGCUUUGCAGGUGUGAUUAAGUUAAGCAUCUUGCGAUGGGAGAUUAUCCUGGAUCAUCUGAGUAGCCCUGAAUGCCAUCCCGGGGACUGGACGCAGAAGAGGCCACGGGAUGACCUUGGAAGAGAGAUUCGAAGAUCACUGUGGAAUCCACGUGGGUUUUGUCUUCAUCAGAAUGCUGAGAUGGCAGAUGCAGAAACGAUUGUCACGGGGGGGACUCGGUGCUCACAGGUCCCUGCGAGCAGGAGGCAAGGCCACUCGGAGAGGCAGGAGGCAGGUUAUUUUAUGUAUCCUUAAUUCCUUGGGCCUUGGGCCUUGUUCCUGGAGAGACGGCUAGGACUCGCCUGCGAACGCCUCUGAUCACAAAGUGACCCAUCCAAGAGCCAGCCCGCACCAGCUCCUCACCUCACCCUCAGACACCAAGCCGUGUUCCUCCUGCCCCAAAUCACCCAGGGCCAGGAAGUGGACAACUAGGGACCUUCCUGUAGCUCAGGCUGCUGCAAUUAUUUAUAUUUGAUUCUAACCUUAGUCCAUGCAUUGUGCUGCCUCGCCCACUCCUUCCUGCAAAGACCCUAACAAAGGCUGUGGGCCACAUCCUCCUUGCUCCUGCUUCUGCUCCUGGCCCAAACCAGAGCUUCCCCAUGUGGCCUGCGUGGCGCUGGGAAAGGCGAGUAAUAAAUUCUCCCUUCAAAGGCAGCACCUCACCAUACCUGAUUGAAACAAAUCCUGGGCACGAAUUUUACAGCAAAGAUGCUCCGCGGCCACUCUGCUGAUGGAAUGCAGGAAGGGGCCACACGUGAAGGAAUGCAAGGACCACGGCUCCAUGGGACAAGGCCAGCUGUAGGCCUGGGGUGGGGGGACAUGGUCCUGUCCACACCUUCGCGGAGGGCGUGUGCUGUUCCAGAUCAGGCCUGCGAAGCCGGAGCAGCGGAGACAGCGUGGUGCUGGGCACCCCGGGACACAGCCGGUCCACAGUGGCGCAGUUCGUACGGUCACAUGAUUUUGUAAAACUGGCUGAACUAAGAUACUGUGACCACAGCGGUUCUGGCACUGUCUCGGAGUCCCUCUGUCACACCUCCCCUCUUGCCGGGGUGGCCCUAGAGAGGGGGGGACCCUUUUGGGAUCUGGCCAAGCGGAAGUCGGAGCUGCGGAAGCCUCCGCUGGGGUUUCGCGGAGCGUGUUUGUGUCAGUCCUACUCACUUCCUUGCUUAUCAAGGUCGGUGCCAGACAUCCUGGUGCAGAAAACCAUUUCCGGACGCCCACGGCCGGCCACCAAGAGGAGUGGAUUAUGUGGACUUUUGGAAAGAGAUUAAACAUCCUGCUGAUCUGACAGGAAAUGCUGACAUGGGCACGAUAACCUAGAACUCCACGGCAAUGUGACAGGACGUGACCUGAGGGGUUUCGUCGGAUUAGCAGCGGCGUCUUCAGUGGGUCAUGGCAUGGGAACGUGCACCCAGAGCUUCCCCGACGUGUCUUCUCUAGAUCUGACGGCUGUCUCCACACUGGGUCUGAUUCGGGCAGGGAUGGGCUGUCAAGUGUCGAUGCUUAUAAAACAGCAGUCCUGGGUUGAUCCCACGCAGCUACGUUGAGGGACGAAGUUACCUCUCUAUUUCCCCCCUGGGAAAUGACAUCGCAAAACUGUUAUAAGAGACAAUAGAAAAUGGAGAUUUACAGAGUAUCAGUGGAGUAGUAGGCAGUUAUGAAUAAAAAUUGUGGCAUUUCUGGAU